CCUACGGGUGGCAGCAGUGGGGAAUAUUGGGCAAUGGGCGCAAGCCUGACCCAGCAACGCCGCGUGAAGGAAGAAGGCUUUCGGGUUUUAAACUUCUUUUUACAGGGAAGAGUAGAAGACGGUACCUGUCGAAUAAGCCACGGCUAACUACGUGCCAGCAGCCGCGGUAAUACGUAGGUGGCAAGCGUUGUCCGGAUUUACUGGGUGUAAAGGGCGUGUAGCCGGGUUGACAAGUCAGAUGUGAAAUCCUGUGGCUUAACCGCAGAACUGCAUUUGAAACUGUUGAUCGUGAGUACUGGAGAGGCAGACGGAAUUCCUGGUGUAGCGGUGAAAUGCGUAGAUAUUAGGAGGAACACCAGUGGCGAAGGCGGUAUGCUGGACAGCAACUGACGGUGAGGCGCGAAAGCGUGGGGAGCAAACAGGAUUAGAUACCCCUGUAGUC
rnacentral:rRNA from 1 species